GCAAGUCGAGCGGAAACGAUGUAGCUUGCUACAGGCGUCGAGCGGCGGACGGGUGAGUAACGCGUAGGAAUCUGCCUAGUAGUGGGGGACAACCUGUGGAAACGCAGGCUAAUACCGCAUAAUCCCUGAGGGGGAAAGGAGGGGAUCUUCGGACCUUUCGCUAUUAGAUGAGCCUGCGUGAGAUUAGCUAGUUGGUGAGGUAAAGGCUCACCAAGGCUAUGACGCCUAACUGGUUUGAGAGGAUGAUC
rnacentral:rRNA from 1 species